AUUGAACGCUGGCGGCAGGCCUAACACAUGCAAGUCGAACGAGUGGCGGACGGGUGAGUAAUGUCUGGGAAACUGCCUGAUGGAGGGGGAUAACUACUGGAAACGGUAGCUAAUACCGCAUACCAUCAGAUGUGCCCAGAUGGGAUUAGCUUGUUGGUGGGGUAAAGGCUCACUAAGGCGACGAUCCCUAGCUGGUCUGAGAGGAUGACCAGCCAAAUGGGAAUGAAGAACCGGCCCAAACUCUUACGGGAGGAAGCAGUGGGAAACAUUGAACAAGGGGCGCAAGCCGGAUGUAGCACGGCCGCGUGGAUGAAGAAGGCCUCCGGGUUGUAAAGUAUUUUCAGCGGUGAGGCGUUACCCGAAGAAGAAGCACCGGCUAACUCCGUGCCAGCAGCCGCGGUAAUAC
rnacentral:rRNA from 1 species